UAAGUAAAGAAAUAGGAACAACUUUCAUACCCUUUAUGCUCUGUCAUUACAGGCUGUGUCCAGGUUGCUUCCUGCAACCUCCCCCUGCAAACUCCUGUCUGCCUGCAAACAGACCUUUUUCCAGUUUAGGGUGUGGAAGCUGAAGUAAAGGAAGAAACUCUGCUUGAAAUAUUUAUGGCUCAGAUGAAAACAAAGAACAUAUAUGAGAUUUCUUCUAUGACCAUGUUUUGCUUAGGUUUCCAGUUCAAUCGUGUCUACUUGGGCAAAAUUUACAGAGCAAAAUAGCCAUGGAAAAUGAGUGAGACUUAAGCUGCUAAAAGUACAGAAUAGAUGGAUGAAUAUUAAGAAAAUAUUGAUCUAUAGAAGUCAAAUGGCCAGUGAUUUUUCUGAUGACAGUUGGACAUGGGUGUGUAUGAAAGGCCGUCAGAGGAAGAGGUGGAGUAGACCCAAGGGAGGAGUGAUGAACUGGGCUAUUUGGGGAAUUCAGCAGGAGCACAGCCGAUCUCUUGAGGGGUAUUACCAUCUGCUUUUCUGCUAAUAUAAUGAAGUGAUGCUGAUCAUCCAAAAAGAAAUGAACAGUCUCUUCCAAAGCAGUAUUUCUAGUGUUGGUGUUUAGGUACUGAACAAUUGAACUGCUGAUACUGAGAUCUCAUCUUCAGAAGCAUUAACUUCUGUAAUGCUUGUUGUUGAUCAGUGGCAACUAUCCUUAUCUGAAUUUUUAAAGUGUUUCCUGUCCUGUUCCUUACUAGAAAGUAAACCUAAUCUUUAGGUYGUUCCAUUUUUAAGAUAUGAAAGUGACAAUUUGGAAAAUCUUAUGAUAAUCCUGAAUUAUAUAUGAAAGCAUUUCAGGCAGUCUAGAUAUGCAGGGGGAGGUGAGUGAUAGCAUGUUCUGAUGUGCUAGGUAGUCAAAUUAAGGAGAAAGUCAUUUUCAUACCAGUAUCUAUAAGAGACACUAAGCAGAGAUUGAACCAUUAUUCUUCAUCUUUGAAGAAACCAUAACUGGAAUUUAACUCUUCCAGAAUGGCAAUGACCUUUCAGCCUUUUCAUUGGAUCUGAACCUGUGGGUGGGUCUUGAUCAUGAUGAUAAACAUUGCCCUGCAGCUUUUUCCAGAGGAAGAGUUAUAAUUACCUUCAAUAAAUGCAAAUCGCGUAAGAAUUUUGGCCUUCUU
ensembl:lncRNA